AGAGUUUGAUCCUGGCUCAGGAUGAACGCUUGCGGCGUGCUUAACACAUGCAAGUCGAACGAAGCACUUUAUUUGAUUUCUUCGGAAUGAAGAUUUUGUGACUGAGUGGCGGACGGGUGAGUAACGCGUGGGUAACCUGCCUCAUACAGGGGGAUAACAGUUGGAAACGACUGCUAAUACCGCAUAAGCGCACAGGGUCGCAUGACCUGGUGUGAAAAACUCCGGUGGUAUGAGAUGGACCCGCGUCUGAUUAGCCAGUUGGUGGGGUAACGGCCUACCAAAGCGACGAUCAGUAGCCGACCUGAGAGGGUGACCGGCCACAUUGGGACUGAGACACGGCCCAAACUCCUACGGGAGGCAGCAGUGGGGAAUAUUGCACAAUGGGGGAAACCCUGAUGCACCGACGCCGCGUGAGCGAAGAAGUAUUUCGGUAUGUAAAGCUCUAUCAGCAGGGAAGAAGAAAUGACGGUACCUGACUAAGAAGCACCGGGCUAAAUACGUGCCAGCAGCCGCGGUAAUACGUAGGGGGCAAGCGUUAUCCGGAUUUACUGGGUGUAAAGGGAGCGUAGACGGUUAUGUAAGUCUGAUGUGAAAACCCGGGGCUCAACCCCGGGACUGCAUUGGAAACUAUGUAACUAGAGUGUCGGAGAGGUAAGUGGAAUUCCUAGUGUAGCGGUGAAAUGCGUAGAUAUUAGGAGGAACACCAGUGGCGAAGGCGGCUUACUGGACGAUGACUGACGUUGAGGCUCGAAAGCGUGGGGAGCAAACAGGAUUAGAUACCCUGGUAGUCCACGCCGUAAACGA
rnacentral:rRNA from 1 species